CCCACCAGGAGCGCCGACCUCCUCGACCAGGUUCCUCUCAUCUACACCAAGAAGGAACUACCAGGCCGCACCAUGGAGUUCACCUUCGACGUGACCGAGACGCCGGUGAUCGGACGGCGGCUCCUGACGCAGACGUCGACCACCGCCGCCGCCCCUGAGGGCGCUGCUGCAGGCGCCGUGAGCGACGUCCCCGACGCGGCGAGCCUGGCGUCCCCACGUCGCUGCUCCGUCGCCCCUGGGGACAC